rnacentral:lncRNA from 1 species
AUAAAUGUUCAUGUAUGGAGCUAGGGUAAAAAUACGAACAUGACACCUGUCAGUGCCUACUCAGGCUGUGAUUUCUGAACUUUCUGUUUUUAGAAGAGAUUGGUGUUCUCCAACUGGGGUCACUGGAACUUCUGUCUUCAUAGGAGACCUGACUUCCAUUUGCCUCUGAUGCUCAGGCACAGCCCUCGGACGUGGACAUCAUCAAACGUCCUCUUCGCCUUGGAAGGGGGCAAACAAAAUCCAUAUUUCAACUCCAUUUUCUCACUGGGAGGAGAGAGGGGCAGGUACCAGUAAGAUAAGACAGAAAAUGAAGAAAGGAGAUAAGAGAAAAAAAAAGAUGUCUGACUAAAUGAGGGUGCCAGUGCUCCUUGGAGUCAGAAAACGCUGAUUCCGGCUCUGGGAAGAAAGUGAUCCUGGACCAGCCUCUUGCUCCAGAAGGUGAGAAAGCCUCCUGUUCUUCCGGUCACGACAGAAGGAAUCAGAAGCCGACUAAAAAGUUUUUCCAGGGGCCACAUAGAGACAAUUUUAGCGUCAAACAAAUGAUAACUACAAUUGACGGCAACACGUUGGACCCAUUAGGUCAGACUGAUGCUGGGAAUAAAGGCAGAACAGAAACAUAAAGUUUUUUUUAAAAAAAUUUCACCCUUUUUAAAGAAUAAAUUAUUCUGAAAACUAGUGAAGGUAGCGCAUAAAACAAGCAUUUAUCUCAUUUUAUUUGUGGAAACUGUGCUUUGGGGGAACAAAUGAGUGUUGAAGGAAUGGUCUUUAUAGAUGAAAUCUGGGCAAUACAAGAGGAAAUCGGAACUAUUAGGUUGGUGGAAAAACCGUGAUUACUUUUGCACCAACCUGAUACAAUAUCCCAGUUGGGCAAUCUCGAAUGACGCAAGAUGAGCGUCAUCAUCAUCAUUGCUGCCAACCCAUCUGGUGAGGAGCUGGGAGAGAGCGUGGAAACACUGAGCCGGCGGCUCCAUCGUUACAACGCCGCAGGCAAACAAGGGGAAUUCUGGGAGAGAGCGUGGAAACACUGAGCCGGCGGCUCCAUCGUUACAACGCCGCAGGCAAACAAGGGGAAUUCUGGGAGAGAGCGUGGAAACACUGAGCCGCGGCUCCAUGGUUACAACGCCGCAGGCAAACAAGGGGAAUUCUGG